rnacentral:rRNA from 1 species
CAUAGCCUUUAGCCACACAAGUAUUAAAGGUCCCGCCUGCCCAGUGAACUUCUUUCAACGGCCGCGGUAUUCUAACCGUGCAAAGGUAGCGUAAUCACUUGUCUUCUAAAUAAAGACCAGUAUGAACGGCUAAAUGAGGACAAAACUGUCUCUUAUAACUAAUCAGUGAAACUGAUCUUCCAGUACAAAAGCUGGGAUAAGCACAUAAGACGAGAAGACCCCGUGGAGCUUAAAACAAACCACUACCACACAACCCUAGUGCAAUGUUUUAAGUUGGGGCGACUUCGGAAUAAAAUCAAACUUCCGAGCACAGAACCACCACUUCCAAUCAAGGCCAACAAGCCAAAAAAUCGAAACACGACCCGGCCUAGCUGCCGAUCAACGAACCAAGUUACCCCGGGGAUAACAGCGCUAUUUCUUCAAGAGUCCCUAUCAACAAGAAGGUUUACGACCUCGAUGUUGGAUCAGGACACCCAAAUGGUGCA